rnacentral:rRNA from 1 species
GACGAACGCUGGCGGCGUGCUUAACACAUGCAAGUCGAACGGAAAGGCCCUGCUUUUGUGGGGUGCUCGAGUGGCGAACGGGUGAGUAACACGUGAGUAACCUGCCCUUUACUUUGGGAUAACUUCAGGAAACUGGGGCUAAUACCGGAUAGGAGCUCCUGCUGCAUGGUGGGGGUUGGAAAGUUUCGGCGGUUGGGGAUGGACUCGCGGCUUAUCAGCUUGUUGGUGUGGUAGUGGCUUACCAAGGCUUUGACGGGUAGCCGGCCUGAGAGGGUGGACGGCCACAUUGGGACUGCGAUACGGCCCAGAAGCCUACGGGAAGCAGGAGUGGGGAAUAUUACACAAUGGGAGGAAGGCUGAUGGAGCAACGCCGCGUGCGGGAUGACGGCCUUCGGGUUGUAAACCGCUUUCGCCUGUGACGAAGCGUGAGUGACGGUAAUGGGUAAAGAAGCACCGGCUAACUACGUG